rnacentral:rRNA from 1 species
CCGGGUGAGUAACACGUAUGCAACCUGCCUGCCACAGCCGGAUAAUCGGGAGAAAUUCCGUCUAAUACGGCAUAAUGCAUCGACGGGACAUCCUGUUGGUGCCAAAGGUUGAUUCCGGUGGCGGAUGGGCAUGCGUCGCAUUAGUUAGUUGGCGGUGUAACGGACCACCAAGACGACGAUGCGUAGGGGUUCUGAGAGGAAGGUCCCCCACACUGGUACUGAGACACGGACCAGACUCCUACGGGAGGCAGCAG